rnacentral:rRNA from 1 species
UACGUAGGGGUGCGAGCGUUGUCCGGAAUUAUUGGGCGUAAAGAGCUCGUAGGCGGCUUGUCGCGUCGGAUGUGAAAGCCCGGGGCUUAACUCCGGGUCUGCAUUCGAUACGGGCAGGCGUAGAGUUCGGUGAGGGGAGAGUCGGAAUUCCUGGAUGUAGCGGUGAAUGACGCAGAUAUCAGGAGGAACACCGGUGGCGAAGGCGGUCUCUGGGCCUGUACUGACGCUGAGGAACGAAAGCGUGGGGAGCGAACAGG